UUGCGACUAACAGCUAGCAAAUGACUGUUAAUCAUUGGGUCCCUGGUUCGAGUCCAGGUCGUGAGCCA
rnacentral:tRNA from 1 species